CCAUUGUCAUUUCACAUUGUUGUCUUAUUUUUCUUGUGGGAUUUCUUCUAUGUGUGCGUCUUCAUACAGAUACGAGCAUUUGUCUCUCUCUGUUAUUCAUCCAUUUAUGCAUUUCAUUUCAUAAUGAGGAUUCCGCAAGUUUAAGUCGGGAGACAAAACCAAGUCGUGAUCUCCCUUCAGCUGCAGGAAUCAGAAUCAAAAAGUUGGUGCAAUUGUGCAUCCAGACGAAAUUUAGUGUGAGGAUGAAGAAGAAUGUGCCUGCCUGAUGAUGGGUUUGACGAUGUGAAUAUAUGUAUCACAAGUGGAAUUAAGGGAUACCGAAAAAAAUGUGAAGAGAUCAAAAUUUGUCAAAAUCGGUAAAGAAUUCGCUAAUUAGUUUCAUACAAAAAAGUCAUGGAUAUGUUCUCGUUAAUAGAAUUAGGAUUAGUUUAG